rnacentral:pre_miRNA from 1 species
AACAUUCAUUGCUGUCGGUGGGUUUUAGUUUGUACCAACUCACUGAUCAAUGAAUGCAAA